rnacentral:rRNA from 1 species
UACGGGGGGGGCAAGCGUUGUUCGGAAUUACUGGGCGUAAAGGGCUCGUAGGUGGCCAACUAAGUCAUACGUGAAAUCCCUCAGCUUAACUGGGGAACUGCGCCUGAUACUGGUUGGCUUGAGUUUGGGAGAGGGACGCGGAAUUCCAGGUGUAGCGGUGAAAUGCGUAGAUAUCUGGAGGAACACCGGUGGCGAAGGCGGCGUCCUGGACCAAUACUGACACUGAGAAGCGAAAGCCAGGGGAGCAAACGGG